CCUACAAUCCUUCCCACCACACAUUCUGUUUGUGUGCUCCCAAACACAUGAUUCCCAGACACCUCACACCAACGGCACCAUGGUUAAUGAAUGAUUCAAGAAGCCUCUAAAAGGGAAAGGUACAUUUCCUCCAACUGUGUUCUUCGAAAGUCACUCUGUAGCAGGGGAGGGACAUGGUAACAAGGCUAACAGGCAACACUGAUGAUAGAAACCCCAGGUCUAAUAUGGAGUAGACGUCAGUUUCUACAGUAUCAGGACAUCCUAGUGGCUCAGAGAUGCUGCAAGCAGUGAAGUUCAGGAGAUGGCGUACGGAAAGUACAAUUCCAUGCGCAGGUUCAGAGAAGACCGCUAUCGGGCACACCUGAAGCAGCCCGAAGCUCUGGCCUGCCCCUCGGCCCGGGUAGGGUAGCAGCAAAGGCCUGAGCGCCACAAAUCCCCCACUGUGUAAAUCUGAAUAAAUCCUGGGUCGAGCGCG